rnacentral:rRNA from 1 species
CCUACGGGGGGCAGCAGUCGAGAAUCAUUCACAAUGGGGGAAACCCUGAUGGUGCGACGCCGCGUGGGUGAAGAAGUACUUCGGUAUGUAAAGCCCUGUCAGCAGGGAAGAAAAUUACGGUACUUGACCAAGAAGCCCCGGCUAACUACGUGCCAGCAGCCGCGGUAAUACGUAGGGGGCAAGCGUUAUCCGGAUUUACUGGGUGUAAAGGGAGCGUAGACGGCAAGGCAAGUCUGGAGUGAAAGCCCCGGGCUCAACCACGGGACUGCUUUGGAAACUGUGUUGCUGGAGUGCAGGAGGGGUAAGCGGAAUUCCUAGUGUAGCAGUGAAAUGCGUAGAUAUUAGGAGGAACACCGGUGGCGAAGGCGGCUUACUGGACUGUAACUGACGUUGAGGCUCGAACGCGUGGGGAGCAAACAGGAUUAGAUACCCUUGUAGUC